GAAUAUUCAUCAAAUACAUGUGUAUAUAAUUACAUCAGUGAUGAAUAUAAUCUUCUGGCAUAGCGCUAAGGCUAUUUACAUGGCAGCGGAAGUCUAAUUAAAUGGCGGCGGAAGUCUUGGCAGCAUAUAACUCUGGUUGGGCUCCACAACUCACAGGACUGGCAAGAUUACGGCCUAGCACGACGGAACAAGUGAACGACCUACAAAACUGGCAUGACACGCCAAGUCAGUACAUUGAAUGUACUUGCAAGACAACCAAAUACAUAGCAUCCAAACAAGCAGAAGACAAAGCAGGAACCAAGAGAAUGCAACAAUCUAGCUCAUUUCAGAAACUAAGCAUCACAUAAUAUCAACCCAAGACAUAAAUCAAACUAACAUCAUGGCAUCCACUAGCAUGACAACAACAUGAUAUAUCAAAUUCACUUCUAACAUGGCAAUAGCAAAACAUAGCAUAUCAUCUCAAUCAUAUCAAAUGCAGACAUAGCAUGUUAACUGUAUGCAACCAUCUCAUGUUCUACCAUGGUUCUUUAAAUGCAAACAUAUUACUCAUGCAAUGCCACCAAACUUUGUGCACUGAGUCCCUCGGACUCUCUUACCAACGGUGAUCACCUCAUUUCCUGAUCACCAACAGAGACAAACUUGUGAUCCUUACGGUGAUCACAACCCGACCACAUCUGGCCCGUGAUCCUUACGGCGAUCACCACCUGACCACAUCUAGCCCGUGAUCCUUAUGACGAUCACAACCCGACCACAUCUGGCCCAUGAUCCUUAACCACAUUAACCAGCUUAAUUAUUUUAGGUUUAUCCUCCAUUUCGACCAAGACCCGAUAGUGUACCCUACUACGAACUUAUGCCCAUGACCGAGGACGCGGCUAUCGAUAGUUUAAAUACACUCUGCAGAGGUAGCGCACUAUACCCACACCACGGAACCCAUGGCCUCGCACUCCCAUUCGGGUGGACCAACGGCAUUCCAACGAAACCGAUCUACUGUCAUGACACUCUCCCGGCCACUCCGACUCACUCCUCACUGGGCUAGUCCUGGGUGGCCCCGUGUCUACCUCCAGACACCUCGACCACCAUCGUGGCCACGAUCCACACUAGGACAUGGUACCAAAACUCAACUUAACAACGGGCUCACAAGGCUUAUGUCCGCCUACCUGAUCAGGGUAGCGCGCGCCCAUAACCUUCCCUAGUUGGAGGCACCGACCAGAGGCACGACAAUAGACCGCAUUAAGGCCGUUCCAUACCGGCAAAUGUGGUUGCACUUGGAAAAAGUUUGAUUUGGCGACACUAUGACUCGAUCCAAUCGAUGACAGAGGGGGUUUGUUAUAAUUAAGUCAUUUUAAUUCCUUCUCCAUCAUCAUGAACAUGAAUGCAACAAUGAGCAUACAUCAUUCCAAUGCUUUAACAAAACAUCGAGCUUCUCAAGUGAACACUUACAACAUCAAGAACAUGACAAUACCAAGUACUAACAUAUCCACGGUGCAUUACCAUCAUCAGAGCAUUUUAUAACGAUGACAUGAAAAUAAAUUAGAGUAGUGACAUGGCAUAAUCAGUAACAACAUUCUAAUUAUCAUGGCAAGAAGUAGCAUGAAAACACAGGCAUGCAAGGUAAGCAUAGCGGAAUAACUGUAGAUAAAACCGAUAAGAAGUAACUACAAAUACACACACACAAGGUGCAAGCAAAGUCAACAUGCAAGUUCAUGGCUCAUGAUAAGAGGUUGGCUUGCCUGGGGGUCGACAAAUAGUCCGGGAAGAAGUGUGAAACGAUCGCGGAAAAAUUGCCGGAAACAGUUCUCUCUCGGAGAGGGCUGUUUACGGACAAGGGCGAAAUAGUCAUUUUCAUAGUGUCAAACCAUAGUGAAAAUGAUCUCAUCAGAACGGGCUCGAUGAUACGAAGACGUGGGCGUUGGAUUUACCUCAAUCUGAGUUACGGUUAAAAAGAUACGGAUGUUUAAAACUCAAGGACUAAUCUGUAAAAAUGCUUCUACAAACAGGUCCUUGGCAGUUUCGAACGGAUGCGUCUUUUCUGAAAUACAUCUUCGGUCAGGGAAAACGGCUCGUGGCGGGGGCGCUUCCACUUAUCCACGUGGCGCUGACCGGGUCAAAGGGCAGAGGCUGGGCCGGCGUCUGGGUCGCUGCCAGGUGGGGUCGCGGGGCCCGCCUAGCCAGGUCAAUGCCCACCUGGCCGGCUCCUUCUUCUCCUCGCUCGGGUGCACGACUGGCCGAGGCAGAGGCGGGCUUCAGGCGAGGGGGCCGGCCUGCUCCGGUCGUCUCCGGUAGUGGUGCGGCCACCGUUGAGCUCGGCAUGGACCGCCACAUCCAUUCAGAGGAAGGGCGGCUGCCGGGGAGGCGCGGGGAAGAGAUGGCCACCGGAAAGGAGAGCGGUCGCGGUGGCACUGGAGGAUGGGGGCGAUGGCUUUAGGUACUCCGGCGACGAGGAAAGGGGCUGGUGCGGAUCACUGGAGCAUGGGGAAGACGUGGGUGCGGUCAGGGAGAGGAGGGGUGGCUCGGGUCGCUUCAAUUUAGGAGGACCGAUGCGGCGGCCAUGGUGGCAAUGGCUUCGGCCAUGGAGCGGACAGGGAGCUCCGAGGCGAGGGGGGAGCUGCGAGAGGCUUGGGGACCGCGAGGGGGCUCGGGAGCUGCUUAAAUAGCCGCAUAGGGGCUCGAGGGAGGAGGGGAGGAAGUGGCACGCGGCGGGCGACGUGUCCGCGCGUCGGCGAUGGCGCAGUCGUCGGUAGUCACGGCCAGGGCUCACAGGAGGCAGUGGGAAGGCGACGAGGGGGAAGCGGACGAGCGCCAGAGGCUCACGGAGAUGAGGGGCACUCACGGAUGAGAGGGAGAAGAAACCAAAAGAGAGGAAGAAGACGAUGGCCACAGGCGCAUUGCUCGAGCUUUGGCACGGCUCGUCGGAGAAGCAAACGGAGGGGGAGCGGGGUCCAGGCGAACGGUGACGAUGAUGCGGAGCUGUAGGACAUUAAUGGCGAGGUCAGGGACGGUCGGAGCAGCGCUACCGACGAGAACAAUGGCUAGACCACCAUUUUGGCUGGCUGCACUCGUGGUCACCACUGGCAUGGCGCGCUCUAGAGAUUUUACUGAGGUUAAACCAUGUCUAACGGGUAGUCCUUCGAAGAUGGAGUGUUACUGAGGUAAAUAGACAGGCAGAGACAAAGGGAGUGGAGUAAACCAAGCUCCACAAGUUUGUUGUUGCAAACUUGGCAACUUGCUGGAGAUAAAACCAGAGAGGGUAAAACGUAGAAUUGUUGUCUGGGAAGCUUAGGAUAGCAAGGACUACGGUCCUGGGAGUUUUGAGGUCAUUGGGACAAUUAUUUAGCAUAGUUGCUUAACAACGGCUAAAAUAUGUCCAGAAAACAAAAGAGGAAGAAGCACUCACUAGGAAGGUUGGAUUGAGUUAUAACUUGGCAAAUCCUCAUGAUUUGGUCAUAGGUAGAUGCCGUAAAAAGAUCACAUCAAAUGGACUCACCAAAUUGGUACUUGCUUCAUAAGCAUCACUUUUGACCAGAAACUUGGGAAAAUCCUAGGAAAAUAUUGGCUAAAUAAAAUUAGCCAAACUCUUCGGUAGGUGGGUUAUAUGGAUAGGAGAAGGCCUGGAAUUAUUUUCAGCCAUAAUGGAGCAAGAUAAAAUAUACUUGCUUCACAAACUGAAAAUUUGGACAGAGAACAAGAAUUGCUUCUGUGCUCACAUAGCUCAAUGAAAUGAGCUGAAUCUGGGUGAAGGCUAAUGAUUUGGUAUACUUGAGAGGAUGGAAAAGUUUCAUCCCAUUUGGAAACUCUAUGAAGGUACAUCCUUCACAAAGUGACAAUCUGGUCAGGAACUUUGAAAAACUGCACAAGGAGCUAGGAUGAUUGUAUUGAGCUCAUCUUUGGUAUCCAUGGGUUAUUUAUCAAUAUUAAUCACCCUGCCAAAUUGCAGCUCAAAUGGAUUAGGAAUAAAGCACUACCUUUGCAAAAUUUCAGAGAAGGCAGAAACUUGCAUUGGAUCAUGUGCCCAAUUUUGGAUCUGUGGAACAUGAGACGAUGAUGGAACUAGUGAUUAUAUACAAGGACAAGCUCCACAAUUUAUGUGAGAAUUUUCCCUGCUAUAGAAAUAGUAGUUCCUUUAGAAAAUGGCAUAAAUGCAAUAUUGGUAUUAAAUAGGAAAAGACAAUUUUCCUUAUUUAAUUAUGGCCAAUAUAAUUGCCAGAGCCUGGAUUAGGCAUAAUUAUCAACUCCACCAAUUCACAUGGAUUUAGGAGAUGGCUAGAUAUGCCUUUUGAUUUUAUUCCUCAGAAAGGCAAGAAAAUGAAUAAAUCGUAAUUCAAAAAUAUUGCAUGGCACUUGGCAAUAUUUUUGCAUAUCCAAGGUUGAAAAGGAUAGGAGGGUCUCUAGGAACAGAUGGGAUGAUCAACAGAUCAAGGAAAAUGAUGGCUCCUUUGUAAUCACAAAGGCCAUAUUCAAAUCCCAAAAAUUUGGUAUUGGGGUUUGAGAUGAUGCAACUGAGGUCUUGCCCACUGAAAAAGACAGGAGCAAGUUUUGAAAGGUUGGAAAUGACAGGAAAUCUCAGAGUCAUCCAACAAACUCAGGAGAAAGAUUUGAGAAAUGAGUGCCAGGAAGGAAUAAUAGCACAAAAAUUGAUAACCCAAUUUUGGGGCUGUUACAAACCUUCCCCCCUUAAAAGAAUCUCGUCCUCGAGAUUCCUAGGGUUAUAGCACAAAGAAAAGAUAACUACUCUGGGGAAAAAUCCUCUGGGUUAAUUUUAACCCUUUGGUCAAAUUCGAACGAAUUGGGGCACCGAUAACUGGUACACCCACGAAGAGAUAUGUGAGAACACGGUUAUAUCCACGGCUAGGAGCACUCGAGAUCAAACUCUCGAAAAAUUGCUAGAUGCACCCAGUGAACAGUGCACUCACCUGCUGACACGUGGGUCCAGGGCCCACUGGCAGCCUCCUUCUUCUACCUCUGGCUAACUGCUUCUCCCGUGCUGCUGUUUCGCGUGCGCCUUGGCGCAGCACGCAUCUAGCUCCUAGGGCGAUGAGGACCCUAGUGCCUUAGUGCGCGUCGUGCACGGCGUCGGUGCAGCGAGCACUCACGUCGCGGGCCAGCACCUUGUCGGCACUGCUCGUAGAUUCGCCUCCUGGACGCCGGUGAUCGGGCGACGAGCGAUUUUCCUGGACUCCGCUCACCGUACACCGGGGUUGGGCUAUAAAAACGGAAGCGCAACUUGCUUCCAACAUACAAACACAAUGCCACUCUACUACCUCUUCGGUUAGAGCAAGAUCGAGCCGAGCUCCUUUGGCGAGGAGGUGUUCUUGGUGGCGCUAUGAUUGUUCCUCGCGGCACUGCUGGGCACGCUGAUCAACUCAUUGAUCCUCCUGGUUAUUAUCAUCAGGAACGAGCGGGCUCGAGACAACACACGGCUAAUGGCUCGAGGUGUGGAAGAAGAUGGUGCACGGGGUGGUCCUCCGCCACGCUUGGUUCUCCGUCGCUUCGUGCCGACGGAGUAAUCGCGUGCUGCGGUGGAGCGGUGGUGGCAACUUGCGGCGCCACGCAAGGCAGUGAUGGUGUGGAUGAUGGGUUCGGAUGCAGGUGAGGUUGGUAUGCUAGCUCAGGAGUCAAACUAGGGCACGGGAAAAAUUUCGUGGAUUGCUCCACGAAAUGUAGGUGUCGAGGUAGAAUCGGAGUUGAAAUCUGUAUCGGGGAAUUGUAAUGGAUCGUGAGAAAUAAAGCUGGCAGUGUUUCUCCGGAACACACAAUUGGGCUUACGAAAAAUAAUCAGGGACGAGAAAUGGCCAGAUGAAAAUGGCUUCUUGGAGGUUCGGGGUUUGGAAAAAAUCUGGCACGCGGGGUAUGCACAGAUAGAGAGGGAUAUGUGAAUUUGCAUUCCCCCGAGUACUGCUCAAAUGUACUCGUGGGUGAACCAGGUAUGCGUGCAGUAUGCAGAAAAAUCCAAACAAACAGACAAAAUUAUGCAACAGAAAACACCAGACAAAUCACACUAAGGUGUUUUAAUGCUAGUGGGUAUAUGUACCCCUGGUAUACAUAUACAUACACUAGCGCGUAUUUUAUUAGAGACUCGGAACGAGUCAAUGUUGUUUUUAGUGUAUGUGUCGUACUGACUAAAAUCUUGUUAACACGGUGCCAACCCUGUCAAACAUUUCUAUUUUAUAGAGAGAUAAGCAAAAACAAACACACAAACAAAAGCAAACAAGCAAAUAACACAGCAUACGGGUUACAACAGUACCAGCAUACAACAAGCACAGACGCGCUACGCGCUAAACGAAACUACUCGCUCCGGGAUACAUGGUUCUAUCCGCAUAUCGAAGACGAACCGACAGACCGACCUACUAGCAGGAACCACUGACUGCGUGACUGAAGUCAUGCAGAAGACUGGCCUUGCUGGGGCUCUCCUAGAGGAUGAAGACUGAGCCAAUCUCCAUCUUCAUCAUCUGACACUUCUAUGGGUUGGGGCAGUGGGGCUGGAAUUGCUCCAGGAAAAUGCUGCUGAUGGAUCCGGAGAAGAGACUUGUCGAGGGUGAUGAUGUUUGGCUUGUGCCACAGCACAGGUUGAGAGGAUAGCACUGGUUGAGAGGAUAGCACUGGUUCAGAUGGCGUUGGGCCAACAGCUUGAGAUGCAAACUUGAGCCUGACGGUAAGCUUCCUUGAUGACUUGUACCACAUUAUUGUACAUGGCUCUAAACUCGGCAAGCAACAUUGAAAUCAGCAUCCCCUGGGCACUAAUGUAUUGCACUAGGUGAGCGAUUGCAGGAUCAUCUCCUUGGCUAACGGUAGAAGGCUGCAUUACUGCGUUGGACACAGUGGGGAAAAAGUAGAACUCCCGCCUUGUUGCUACAUGCGGGAAGUUGGUUCGGAGGUGAAGGAUAGCCUCCAUAGUAGCGGCUUGAAUGGCUAAACCAGAGGUAGGCAUGGCUCUACCCUGUAAAACCAAAGGCUGGACAUCUGCUGCAGGACCUAGGCUGAUGUGCACUCUUGCAACAAAGUGAUGAAGGUGAGGGACGGGUGUCGAUUGGAACACCAGGUAAUCAGGGCUAGUCUUACCGCCAAAUGCUUUGGUGAGCAUCUCGGCAAGAAGGGGUGGAAAGCCAGGGUGGUUGACGGCAUAGGUGCUGGUGUAAUACGUGGGAGUUUUGGAGCUGCUAGCCAUAGCUGGGGUGCUACUAGUUAAGCUUCUCUGCGGGGACAUGGCGGACUGAGGAGCGAGCGAUACAGCUAGCGGAAAGGGCAUUUAUAGGCAGCUACGCGGGACAGGCCCGCGUGGCGUGGCCCCUUUCCCUUAAUGGCGAAGGGAAAAGCGGUGCGGUCGACCAGAAAGUAUAGGAUUGCUGCACGUUCCACGGAUAACUAGGCGGAGACAACGGGGUGAGGACGUGUCGGUCCCGACUGCGCCGCCUGUUGAUUAAUAGUGGCCAUGCCGGAUGCUAGGGAUGGGUAAAAUCCCUUAGGGUCAUUACGGGUUAAUGGUAGCGGUGAUCUAGUGCUAGGAUAAUCUAUGCCAGUUGGCUGCUAAGAUACCAAGCCCUGUGGCACCCCGAUCCGCAUGGAGCAGGGGGCCUUCGCACGUCAGCCCAGGAUAACACCUGACGCACGACAGGUCCGUGAUACAGCAUUCCAGGUACAAGAAUAUUCAUCAAAUACAUGUGUAUAUAAUUACAUCAGUGAUGAAUAUAAUCUUCUGGCAUAGCCCUAAGGCUAUUUACUUGGCAGCAGAAGUCUAAUUAAAUGGCGGCGGAAGUCUUGGCAGCAUAUAACUCUGGCUGGGCUCCACAACUCACAGGACUGGCAAGAUUACGGCCUAGCACGACGAAACAAGUGAACGACCUACAAAACUGGCAUGACACGCCAGGUCAGUACAUUGAAUGUACUUGCAAGACAACCAAAUACAUAGCAUCCAAACAAGCAGAAGACAACGCAGGAAC
rnacentral:lncRNA from 1 species